rnacentral:rRNA from 1 species
ACUACGGGAGGCUGCAGUAAGGGAUAUUGGUCAAUGGGGGAAACCCUGAACCAGCAACGCCGCGUGAGGGAAGACGGUUUUCGGAUUGUAAACCUCUGUCCUCUGUGAAGUUGAUGACGGUAGCAGAGGAGGAAGCUCAUGAUAACUACGUGCCAGAAGCCGCGGUAAUACGUAGGGAUCGAGCGUUGUACGGAUUUACUGGGUGUAAAGGGUGCGUAGGCGGCUUGUCAAGUCAGUAGUGAGAUCCAUGGGCUUAACCCAUGAACUGCUAUUGAAACUGUCGAGCUUGAGUGAAGUAGAGGUAGGCGGAAUUCCUGGUGUAGCGGUGAAAUGCGUAGAGAUCGGGAGGAACACCAGUGGCGAAGGCGGCCUACUGGGCUUUAACUGACGCUGAGGCACGAAAGCGUGGGUAGCAAACAGGAUUAGAUACCCGUGUAGUC